rnacentral:rRNA from 1 species
AUUGAACGCUGGCGGCAUGCUCUACACAUGCAAGUCGAACGGUAACAGGCCGCAAGGUGCUGACGAGUGGCGAACGGGUGAGUAAUGCAUCGGAACGUGCCCAGUCGUGGGGGAUAACUACUCGAAAGAGUAGCUAAUACCGCAUACGAUCUAUGGAUGAAAGCGGGGGACCGUAAGGCCUCGCGCGAUUGGAGCGGCCGAUGUCCGAUUAGGUAGUUGGUGGGGUAAAGGCUCACCAAGCCAACGAUCUGUAGCUGGUCUGAGAGGACGACCAGCCACACUGGGACUGAGACACGGCCCAGACUCCUACGGGAGGCAGCAGUGGGGAAUUUUGGACAAUGGGCGCAAGCCUGAUCCAGCAAUGCCGCGUGCAGGAAGAAGGCCUUCGGGUUGUAAACUGCUUUUGUACGGAACGAAACGGCUCUGGUUAAUACCCGGGGCUAAUGACGGUACCGUAAGAAUAAGCACCGGCUAACUACGUG